rnacentral:rRNA from 1 species
UACGUAGGGUGCAAGCGUUGUCCGGAAUUAUUGGGCGUAAAGGGCUCGUAGGCGGUUUGUCGCGUCGGGAGUGAAAACUCAGGGCUUAACCCUGAGCCUGCUUCCGAUACGGGCAGACUAGAGGUAUGCAGGGGAGAAUGGAAUUCCUGGUGUAGCGGUGAAAUGCGCAGAUAUCAGGAGGAACACCGGUGGCGAAGGCGAUUCUCUGGGCAUUACCUGACGCUGAGGAGCGAAAGUGUGGGGAGCGAACAGG